UCCAUGAUCAUUUUCGAGGAGAAUUGCCGCUGCUUCAUCGGUACGUCGUUCUUGCGCCAAUGUCAUCACCACCGGCUGCUGCUGGCCCUCACCAAAUGGCAAGAUAAGAAUCGAAGAAGAAGUGGUGCUGCCCCGUUAAUCCUUGUCACCGUCGUCAAUGUUGUCUGCCAUCAUCUUCAUCUUCAUCUACUGCCAACUCUUGGUUCUUGUGAUGCUUGUACCAGUUGAUUGCUAACGUUAGAAGAGGAGCUCUACAAGGAUGAUGAAGAAGUUGGAUAAGUUUGAGCAACAGUUGAAGGCAAAUAUGGUGAUUCAAAGGUGGAGUUCCCAAAGAAAUUCCAGGAGUACUAGGCGAGUGUACCCCCAGUCAACCGUCCCUGUGGAGUAUGGAGACCCGAAGAGAAGAUAUAGAAUAGUUUCUGCAAUGCAUUGUAAUAGAUGUAAGCCCUGUUGUAACUAUGUUCGAGAUAUAAUAAAGCAUUG